rnacentral:rRNA from 1 species
UACGUAGGGGGCAAGCGUUGUCCGGAUUAUUGGGCGUAAAGAGCGUGUAGGCGGCCAGGUAGGUCAGCUGUGAAAACUCGAGGCUCAACCUCGAGACGCCGGUUGAAACCAUCUGGCUAGAGUCCGGAAGAGGAGAGUGGAAUUCCUGGUGUAGCGGUGAAAUGCGCAGAUAUCAGGAAGAACACCCGUGGCUAAGGCGGCUCUCUAGUACGGUACUGACGCUGAGACGCGAAAGCGUGGGGAGCGAACAGG